UAAUCAGAGAGAGAGGUGAGGGGGGUGGUCAAUCGUUUUAUUGAUCUGAAAGCUUUUCGAAUCGGUGGCAGCCAUUCAAAAUAAAGAACAAGGUUUUUGAGGUGCUUGAGUUGCAGACAACGCUGCUAGUCAUUUCAAAAUCUGUGAAUCUAACCAGGGCGUGGACAUAAUGUGUCGGCCUAUAAUCCAAUUACCACUAUCAAAAAAUAUGAAAUACCAGCAUGAAAUGAGUAGUAGGAUAAAAAGAGUAAAACUUUUAAUCAUAAAAAUUACUGCUCUAAGGGCAAAACUUGACGAAUAUCAAGCAGCAAAACAAAGACUCAUGUCGAAAUAAACAUAGUUAAGCUACAUUCAUUAUACUCUUUAAAUGCCGAAAAAGUAUUCUGUACGUGAUUGGAAAUAAUGUGGAUGUCAAAACUAAAUCCUAAAAUAAAAACACCUUAGUAUUUUAUAGUAUUAAUAGCUCCAAUGGCAAAUCAAAAAAAACAGUGGCUCAUUGUGAAAACGCAGAGUAAUCAGAUACAGUAGAAAUAUAUCUUGUAAUGAAUAAAAACCACCAUGUCAACUAAACAUAUUUCAUCAACAACGAAUGUUCCAAAAUGACAAAAUUUGAGGUCAAUCACAAAUUAACAUUAUUUGAAUAAAUCAAUCACAGACAGAAUCUGAUGUUUUUCUUUUCGUUCUCCUGUUACCUUAGAACAUUUUAGACCCAUCUUAUUUGUAUGUACUAAUUAACAUUUUUUCAAAUAAAUCAAUCAUAGACAGUA